GAUGAACGCUGGCGGCGUGCCUAAUACAUGCAAGUCGAGCGAACGACGAGAAGCUUGCUUCUCUGAUGUUAGCGGCGGACGGGUGAGUAACACGUGGAUAACCUACCUAUAAGACUGGGAUAACUUCGGGAAACCGGAGCUAAUACCGGAUAAUAUUUUGAACCGCAUGGUUCAAAAGUGAAAGACGGUCUUGCUGUCACUUAUAGAUGGAUCCGCGCUGCAUUAGCUAGUUGGUAAGGUAACGGCUUACCAAGGCAACGAUGCAUAGCCGACCUGAGAGGGUGAGAGGCCACACUGGAACAGAGACAAGGUCCAGACUCAUACGGAAGGCAGCAGUAAGGAUUCUUCCGCAAUGGGCGAAAGCCUGACGGAGCAACGCCGCGUGCAUGGUGAAGGUCUUCGUAUCGUAAAACUCUGUUGUGAGCGAAGAACAUAUGUAUAAGUAACUGUGCACAUCUUGACGGUACCUACUCAGAAAGCCCCGGCUAACUACGUG
rnacentral:rRNA from 1 species